CCGCCCACGGCCACGCCCACGGACACCCCGACCCCGCCCACGGCCACGCCCACGGACACCCCCACUCCCUGCCCGCGGACGAUGCCAGUGGGGGCGGUGGUAGGCCGGGGGCGGUGGCGGCCGGCGACCACGGUGUGGCCGGCGGGGCAGGGCAUGUGCACGUGCAGCAGUAGGGCAGCGGAGCGAGCACGGGGGGGCGUGCACGUAUAUACGUAGUACACGGCAUCAUUACAGGACGCGGGAUGUAGCACAAAUAAUCAUCGCGGGGCGCAGGAUAUAGUACACGGCAUCAUUACAGGCCGCAGGAUAUAGUACACGGGGUCAUACAGGACACAAGAUAUAGUACACGGCGUCAUACAGGACACAGGAUAUAGUACACGGCGUCAUGCAGGCCGCAGGAUAUAGUACACGGCGUCAUACAGGACACAGGAUAUAGUACACGGGGUCAUACAGGACACAAGAUAUAGUACACGGCGUCAUACAGGACACAGGAUAUAGUACACGGCGUCAUUACAGGCCGCAGGAUAUAGUACACGGCGUCAUUACAGGCCGCAGGAUAUAGUACACGGCGUCAUACAGGACACAAGAUAUAGUACACGGCGUCAUACAGGACACAGGAUAUAGUACACGGCAUCAUACAGGCCGCAGGAUAUUAUACACGGUGUCAUACAGGCCGCAGGAUAUAGUACACGGCAUUAUACAGGAUAUAGUACACGGCGUCUUACAGGACACAGGAUAUAGUACACGGCGUCUUACAGGACACAGGAUAUAGUACACGGCGUCAUGCAGGCCGCAGGAUAUAGUACAAGGCGUCAUACAGGCCGCAGGAUAUAGUACACGCCGUCAUACAGGACACAGGAUAUAGUACACGGCGUCAUGCAGGCCGCAGGAUAUAGUACACGGCGUCUUACAGGACACAGGUUAUAGUACACGCCAUCAUACAGGACACAGGAUAUAGUACACGGCAUCAUGCAGGUCGCAGGAUAUAGUACACGGUGUCAUACAGGACACAGGUUAUAGUACACGGCGUCAUACAGGACACAGGUUAUAGUACACGGCAUCAUGCAGGUCGCAGGAUAUAGUACACGGCAUCAUACAGGACACAGGAUAUAGUACACGGCGUCUUACAGGACACAGGAUAUAGUACACGGCGUCUUACAGGACACAGGAUAUAGUACACGGCGUCAUGCAGGCCGCAGGAUAUAGUACACGGCAUCAUACAGGACACAGGUUAUAGUACACGGCAUCAUACAGGACACAGGUUAUAGUACACGGCAUCAUACAGGACACAGGUUAUAGUACACGGCAUCAUACAGGACACAGGAUAUAGUACACGGCAUUAUACAGGAUAUAGUACACGGCGUCAUACAGGACACAGGAUAUAGUACACGGCGUCUUACAGGACACAGGAUAUAGUACACGGCGUCAUGCAGGACACAGGAUAUAGUACACGGGGUCAUGCAGGGCGCAGGAUAUAGUACACGGCGUCAUGCAGGACACAGGUUAUAGUACACGGCAUCAUACAGGACACAGGUUAUAGUACACGGCAUCAUACAGGACACAGGUUAUAGUACACGGCAUCAUACAGGACACAGGAUAUAGUACACGGCAUUAUACAGGAUAUAGUACACGGCGUCAUACAGGACACAGGAUAUAGUACACGGCGUCUUACAGGACACAGGAUAUAGUACACGGCGUCAUGCAGGACACAGGAUAUAGUACACGGGGUCAUGCAGGGCGCAGGAUAUAGUACACGGCGUCAUGCAGGACACAGGAUAUAGUACACGGCGUCUUACAGGACACAGGAUAUAGUACACGGCGUCAUACAGGACACAGGAUAUAGUACACGGCGUCAUGCAGGACACAGGAUAUAGUACACGGCGUCUUACAGGACACAGGAUAUAGUACACGGCGUCUUACAGGACACAGGAUAUAGUACACGGCGUCAUGCAGGUCGCAGGAUAUAGUACACGGCGUCAUACAGGACACAGGAUAUAGUACACGGCGUCUUACAGGACACAGGUUAUAGUACACGCCAUCAUACAGGACACAGGAUAUAGUACACGGCAUCAUACAGCACACAGGAUAUAGUACACGGCGUCAUACAGGACACAGGAUAUAGUACACGGCGUCAUACAGCACACAGGAUAUAGUACACGGCAUCAUACAGGACACAGGAUAUAGUACACGGCGUCAUACAGCACACAGGAUAUAGUACACGGCAUCAUACAGGCCGCAGGAUAUAGUACACGCCAUCAUACAGGACACAGGAUAUAGUACACAGCAUCAUACAGGUCGCAGGAUAUAGUACACGCCAUCAUACAGGACACAGGAUAUAGUACACGGCGUCAUACAGGACACAGGUUAUAGUACACGGCGUCUUACAGUACACAGGAUAUAGUACACGCCAUCAUACAGGACACAGGUUAUAUUAGAUGCUAUCAUACAGGACACAGGAUAUAGUACACGGCAUUAUACAGGACACAGGAUAUAGUACACGCCAUCAUACAGGACACAGGAUAUAGUACACGGCAUCAUACAGGACACAAGAUAUAGUACACGGCAUCAUGCAGGUCGCAGGAUAUAGUACACGGCGUCUUACAGGACACAGGAUAUAGUACACGGCGUCUUACAGGACACAGGAUAUAGUACACGGCAUCAUACAGGGCGCAGGAUAUAGUACACGGCGUCAUACAGGCCGCAGGAUAUAGUACACGGCGUCUUACAGGACACAGGAUAUAGUACACGGCAUCAUACAGGACACAGGAUAUAGUACAUGGCGUCAUACAGGACACAGGAUAUAGUACACGGCGUCAUGCAGGUCGCAGGAUAUAGUACACGGCGUCAUACAGGACGCAGGAUAUAGUACACGGCGUCAUACAGGACACAGGAUAUAGUACACGGCGUCUUACAGGACACAGGAUAUAGUACACGGCGUCAUACAGGACACAGGAUAUAGUACACGGCGUCAUGCAGGUCGCAGGAUAUAGUACACGCCAUCAUACAGGACGCAGGAUAUAGUACACGGCAUCAUACAGGACACAAGAUAUAGUACACGCCAUCAUACAGGACACAGGAUAUAGUAGACGCUAUCAUACAGGACACAGGUGAUAGUACACGCCAUCAUACAGGACACAGGAUAUAGUACACGCCAUCAUACAGGACACAGGAUAUAGUACACGGCAUCAUACAGGACACAGGAUAUAGUACACGGCAUCAUACAGGACACAGGAUAUAGUACACGCCAUCAUACAGGACACAAGUUAUAGUAGACGCUAUCAUACAGGACACAGGUUAUAGUACACGCCAUCAUACAGGACACAGGAUAUAGUACACGGCAUCAUACAGGACACAGGAUAUAGUGCACAGCAUCAUACAGGCCGCAGGAUAUAGUACACGCCAUCAUACAGGACACAGGAUAUAGUAGACGGCAUCAUACAGGUCGCAGGAUAUAGUACACGCCAUCAUACAGGACACAGGAUAUAGUAAACAGCAUCAUACAGGACACAGGAUAUAGUACACAGCAUCAUACAGGCCGCAGGAUAUAGUACACGCCAUCAUACAGGAAACAGGAUAUAGUACACGCCAUCAUACAGGACACAGGAUAUAGUACACGCCAUCAUACAGGCCGCAGGAUAUAGUACAUGGCAUCAUACAGGACACAGGAUAUAGUAGACGCCAUCAUACAGGACACAGGAUAUAGUACACGGCAUCAUACAGGACACAGGAUAUAGUAGACGCUAUCAUACAGGACACAGGUUAUAGUACACGCCAUCAUACAGGACACAGGAUAUAGUACACGGCAUCAUACAGGACACAGGAUAUAGUACACAGCAUCAUACAGUCCGCAGGAUAUAGUACACGCCAUCAUACAGGACACAGGAUAUAGUACACGGCAUCAUACAGGACACAGGUGAUAGUACACGCCAUCACACAGGACACAGGAUAUAGUAGACAGCAUCAUACAGGACAGAGGAUAUAGUACAUGGCAUCAUACAGGACACAGGAUAUAGUACACGCCAUCACACAGGACACAGGAUAUAGUACACACCAUCAUACAGAACACAGGAUAUAGUACACGGCAUCAUACAGGCCACAGGAUAUAGCCGACAGCAGCAUACAUAACACAGGAUAUAAGAUUACAGCAUAAUAUAGGAGGUAGGA